rnacentral:lncRNA from 1 species
GUAGUUUGUGUCCGUUUUGUAUGCGUUUGAGAAUGGAUGGUUAAGUAGUAGUAGGAGAUAGGCAAUAGCCAUAUUGUAUUUGUAUUUAUAUGCAUGACUGUACUAGUUGAUCCAUGGGGACAUUCCUAAUUAAUAUUUUUUUUGCCCUUGGGUUCAAAGCCAAAAAUGUGGAGAUCCAAUGGCCAAGUGGGAAGGCAGGUAAAAGCGAAAGAAACCAAGCAGCGAUCGGUGGCCCUCUUGGUGUAUGUCUCUACCGAUGAC